AUCUAUGAUUGUUGAGAGAUUAACGUGACAAGUGACAAGUAGUGGUACACUGUGUCUCAUAGAGGGUGGAAAUCUGUUGAAUAAAGAGUAAAGCUACUAAUUUAACAAUUUGACAGUUUUAAAAAGAUGUCAGUAAAGUUAAAAGAUUCUUAGUGGCAUUUUUGGGUAGGAACAUCUAGAUAUUCGUGCAUCAUGGCUGGAAGUCUUGAGUUCGAGAGGAAAGAGCAAGGGAGGCGAGAUAUAGCGUCCCGAAAUAAAAAAAAAAAGAUAUCAUACAGUUCACGUUUGCGUCGAGGAGCUAUUUUUCGACCAAAUACAUGGAUUUGUGAGAAAUGACCUCAACUUUCUUCUAUACAUAAACGAAGAUACCAAUGCGCCAACAAUAACUCUAAUUCGGAAGCUAUCCGAAACGGCCGUCAAACGAGAACGAAACUCAAUCAGGAUCCCAUCUAUCGUAUUAUUCGCACAAAGCAGACCUCAGAUUGGAUUAUCUAUUCGCGUUUCCCGCCACACAUUAUGUACUCUCGCAGUAUAAUAGUCGUGAUGUGCGCGUUAUAGCUGCAACAAGAGAUUAUGGCAUAUCCACGAUUAACCAUAUGACCCUGAUUCUGUGAUAUUUUGCAUCCUUGUAAUAAGCUCUGAAAAUUAUAUCUGUACCACCGAACUACGAAAAUUAAAUCUUAUAGUUCUUAUAGAAAGAGAAUUGAAAAAACAGUUUAAAUUCUUUUUAAAUAAAUUAAUCGCGCUGUUUUUAUAAAUCAGUUUUUGAUCAAAUUUAAUUUUAUAUCAAUUUAUCGCGACACGUUUCGAAUAAAAACCCAAUUUUGCACAGCGGUCGUACGGGUUUGCACAUGACAAGCUUAAAACGUCACAUAUAUAUACAUAUAUAUAUAUACAUUGCAACGUAUAUAUACUUGCAUCAGUGUUCAUUCAAUGUAGCGGCCGCGAUAAUAUUAAAAGCAUUUGCACUAAAAAAAAAAAUAAAAA